CAAUUCUAAGCCCUCGGUAGCAAGGACUGUCUUAAAAUAAAGGCACAUACAGUGCCAGGCUCAGUAGGCAUUGUCUGUGCCAGAGGCCUGGAGGCACAAACCUACAGCAAAUGACUGCUCUGUGUCACGAGGUACAACUUUUCAGGCCUGGAUCUUGGCGCUGGAAGUCUUGAACCCCAUGGUUCCUCCUUUCCCUCUGUGCUGCGCCCCUGGCUCACUGGUGGGAGCAGUACCAUCUUGUGCUCUGCUCUAAGGCAAACUCUCAUGCUUGCUUUCCAGCACAUAUCCCCCCCUCUGCAUGGCACCCUGCUUCCCAAAUCCAGGAUCAAUAGGAGGCUCAGGCAGGGACUUGUAUUGUGCAGCUUUGGCUCUGUUCUGGAGGAAAGUUCCUGUGAGCUGGUAUGCGGGCUGAGCGCUGGAUCAGCCAGGAGCACUGGGUGGAACCUUUCCCAGCAUAAAGGAAGAUGUUUGGAGGGAUUACAGAAGGCAUAUUGGGUACCUGCAGAGGUUGUAAACCAGAGAGAGCUUUCAGUUUGCCAUGGACCAAGAUGCCUGAUACGCCUACGUAUUUGUUAGCAUUUAUAAUAAGAGUAUCAGUAGAUAUAAUGGGGCUUUUCGCACUCCCUUUUUGCGCAUAUAAAACACAAGCAAAGUGUACUCUGAAUUUAAUAACAAAGCAGGUGAGGAGUGUUUACUGCAGACUGCCCAGAGAGAUUUUGGAUGCCCCAUCCAUCCCUGGAGGUGUUCAAGGCCAGGUUGGAUGGGGCCCUGGGCAGCCUGGGCUGGUAUUACAUGUGGAGGUUGGUGGCCCUGCCUGUGGGGGGGGGUUGGAGCUUCGUGAUCCUUGAGGUCCCUUCCAGCCCGGGCCAUUCUAUGGUUCUCUCCCAACAGCAUGGUUGCUACCGCCCACAUGAAUGGGGAAUACCUCCAUUCUGGGCCCAGAGCCUUGUAGGUAAAGGUGAGUGUCCAUUAUGCAUAUCCCAUUUGUACGCUCAAUGGCGCCUUAAGCAGUGGCAACUAAAACAGUGAUAGGUGAAAGACACCUGCUUUAAAUAAAUACAGUAAUCUGCCCAAAGCUCCCUGAAUGCACUGGUGUUCAGUGAGGGCCCUGAACCUGCAGACAUACCUAUGCUUAACAACAUAAUCAUUAAAGAACAGAAACCUUUCCUUCUAAUCCCCCUCAUACAGAACAACAUGUGGAUGUUAGCAUAUUUAGACUGCUUUGCAUUCCUUCUUGCCUGCUUCUGAGAACAUACUACAUUUUAAAACUUGUUGGGUUCUUUCAUGUUUUAUUUGACCCUAUGUAAUUGCAUUCCUGAAGGAAUAACAGGCUCCCACAGUGAUUUAUACCCUGUAUUAAAUGUCAGUUUUGAAGAGACACAGUUAGCAGUUUGGUUUAACCUCCUGCCUUCCGAUGUAAGUUCAAAACCGAAGCGGAGCUCGGGAUCCAAGGGGAAAAGCACAAAGAUGAAAAUGGACUUAGGGCAGCGCGGAAGGAGGUGUCUGUGUUCCCAGCCCCUCACCUUUAGAAGGCACCAGGAUGAGAUUCCAUCCAGCCAGCCCUAUUUUUAACCAUCGUUUGCUUACCGCGCUGCCGCCCUUGACCAGCUGUGCAGGCUGUAAAUUAGCGCUGCACGACGCUCUGCUUUCUCCAGAACCUCCAGCAAUGGGCCAGAGCACUUUCUGCUGCAAAACCCACCCAACGGCCCAACACACCAACCCCCAGCAGCUUUGGCAUGUGUCCCAAUAGGAAGGUCAGCAAAAUAAAUCGUCCUUGUGAUUAAGAGCUGCUCCUUUGUUUUUAUGCGUGUAACCGUGCCUAAAUAGCGAGGCAGGAUACGUAUGUUAUUGCUGUUUUAAAGAUUUCAUUCCCUUUGUAGAUUUCCUUACGACAGACUUAACAACUGCUGAAUCGUACGUUAUGACCUAAUUAUGGGGGAUUCAGUUAAAUAAAUCUUGAUGUAAUGGUAUAUUCUUGAUGUAAUGGUGUUUUUAUGUGCGUGUGUGCAUUUAAAUGUAAAAGUAAAUGCAGCCUGUGUUGGGAUCUGACACUGCUUGAGUGGUCAUCCUUUUUAGAACCAGGAGUGAAGCACAUAAUGGGGAGUUCUUUAAGCAUCAGUGCUGUACCUACAACCCUAUUUCCCGUGCCCAGGAAAUGAACGUCCUGGCGAUCACUUUCCUUACCCUGCAGCUCUCUCAGGCAGGAGAUUUAGCUGGAGCUGCUCCAAGGAGGAUUCAGUUCUCACACUGAAAGUGAUAGAUUUGAUCCAUCGGACUCAUUAUUCCUAAAAAUAUCUUAGCCAAAGAUAUUCAAAUGAAUGCAAAGAUUAUGUGGGAUCAGCCCAGGUCGUUGUUCUGACCUCGGCACAUGACUCAUUUUUCAGCUGAAGUCAUUCAGGGUGUUUCCAUUGCCUUCUACAGAGCCUCACUUGUCCAUCAGGUGAAUGAUGAGAACAGAACUGACAAUGAUCUCUUAUUUUGAAGUGAAAAAUGGAGGUGAUAAUGCUUUCAUGGGUUGGGUUUAUCUCAACAGAGCCACGGAAUAAGUUGCCCUCUGGAAGCGGAUGUCACUGCUGACUCUUUGGGGAGCUAAUAUGACGAGCGUAGACCUGAUGCUUGUCUUUCAGAUGGAUAGAGUUAGAUCCUGGAUUGUGGAGGACUAAUGCUUCCAGGCAAGCAAAGCCUGCAGCAUCCUUUUGUUCCUGGUGCAUUCAAUGGGCAGUGCAUUGACUCAGCCUUUUACUCAAAGGACACGAGGAUGCUGUAGAUUUCUCCAUUUGACCAGCUGGAUUUGCACCUGAGUUUUGAUCCCAUGGCUCCAGCUGAAGCUCUCCUUACUUCUGCAGAGAUUGUCCCCUAUGCCAGCAGGACCACCUGAGCCAUUGGCCAUCACCCAGCAGGGAAAGGAUCCCGGGCAGCUUGUCAGGCAUGUUAUGGUGGUCACGUGUGUGAUCUGCCUCCCAAGAGGAAGACAUUUGGGUUGCUGUACCAGAGCCAUGGGACGAGCUUUGCUCACGCCAGCAAGCAGCGUGCCCACCUAGUCCCUGGAGAGCUGGUAAGCAGUUAGCACUUGCUAAGCGGAUAUUGCUUCAUCUUCUGUUAUUACUUGUGUUUGCUAGGUCAAACUGACACCAACUGGUCUGCCACGGCCACAUCAGAGUACCUAUCCAGAGUCUCUGGAGAGCUGCUGAACUGUAAGGAUGUGCAAAGCCCAUAUUCCUGGGACUGCCUAUGUUUGCUAGGUCCGACUGACACUGAUCUGCAGAGAGGAGCUAUGGGCACACCUUUGUUUUACUCUGGAGGAAUAUCCUCUAUCACUCCAGGCCUUAAUUCCUCAUCAGUGAUGAACUGCUGGUGGUAUCCACAGACUGUGGCUCUGUGAUUUGGUGUGGUGGGAAAGCAGAAGCCCCAAGGCACACUGGAGGUGUAACGUUCUGCUAUAAGAACCGAAGAUACAGAAGUGAUAUUAUUGGCAGCUUGGCUGCUGACUGGGUGAGCCCUACAAAAUUCCUUUGAUGUUUUAGUCAUAUUUGAUAGGAAUAGGGCCAGACAAAAAAAAAAAAAAAAAAACUCCAGAGUCUUCCAAAUCCUAAAAUGCAAAAACAAAGCGUUGGACCCUUUCAUUUCCUUCACAGUUCAGAGACUGCAAGGAAAAUGAUUUGAAGCAUUUCCUUCUUCUAACACCAAAACAGAGCCUGGCUUUUACAUAAGGAGAAAACUAUUUGUCGAGUGCUGCGAGCUGCGCUUUGCUAUCACACCGUUUCACAGAACCAGAAGAUACAAAUCAAUGGGGAAAUGUACAGUUGUAGUCCUGUGAUUUCUAUAUCUGCUUUUGCAAUGAUUAUGAUGACAGGACACAUCUCUUUCUUGCCCCCUAGAAGAUUUAUUUUUCUCUGCCCAGCCCUUUUUCUUAUGUUUCUGUAGUUCUCCGAAUAUAAUCUGCUGCCCUUAAUCACGUUUAAAAAAUCACACUGACUUGAAAGGAAAAUGUUAAGUUCUUCAAUGAAUGGAAAAAUACUUCUGUUGUUUAAAUGUAAGUAAUUAAACUGAGGACUUUCUCCAAAGUAAACCUUGACAAUCUAACAACCAUCUUUGGCUUUUGCGCCGAUGGAGUUUCUUUUACAUUUUUAAAUGCAUUCCUUGUUUCAGUAAAUGACACCGGGCUCACCAGCAGUGACUGAGUGAUUAGUUUAUCAUCCUCUUAGUGCAGCCAUCUAGAUCUUUAACUCUUUAAGCAGUGGCAUUUAAGACUUGAGAACACCCAGGAACACGCCUGAGGCUUUAGGCAUUCUCAAUUCAAGCAAAUCUUGGAUAUCAGGUGAAAACGAAUAAAAGAAAGUAGAUGGGCGCACUCUGAUAACGCUUUAAACAAGUCAGGUAAGCUAAAUUGCAAAUAAACAGCAGGCUUUUUAAAGAGGAAGCCAAUUCCCCUUUCCUGGGACCGCUUGGGUCAUCAGGUGUCUGAGCAGCAUAAAGUUACGUGGAGAAAAUCUCCCUGCGUACAAAGGGAGCAAAGGGUGACAGUGCAUUUCCCAAGGCUGUGGGCUGUGGGGCAGGGCUCCUCGCUGGCUUUAUUGCUGGUUUCUCAUGGUGCAGUCAAAACAACCAUUUUACAAAAGUUCUGGUUGUAACAAGUGUAUGUGAGCCGAAACUGCAUGUGAUGCCCUGUGCUGUAAUCAUGUCCACGCAGGGAUGCACAACGCCUGGCAGCAACAAGAGCCUUCGGAGAAGGAAGGGCCUCUUCUUACUUCAGAGCAGAAAGGUGGGGGUGCACUUUCAGGCAGAGGGAGAGGACUGACCUGCGGGCUGCUGACCAGCUGUGCCUGCUGCUCAGCAUGGUGGAUCUGCACCUAUCAUCCGAUCCUGCUCAGUAACGCGAGCCACAUCACCACGCGUGCCCUCUGCCAUGGCAGACACGGAGCUGCUCGCCCCGUGCAGGCCGAGUGCCCCGGGGUCUCUGUAGCUGGGUAGAGCCAGGACUAUGGGAAUGCAGCAACAGCACUGCGCCCAGAGCCCGGCUUUUGGUUAUUUAUUUUAUUUUUAAAAAUGCUUUUGUAGUUUCGUCCGCUGCCUGUGGUCGGUUGUUUGGUUUUGUUUUGUUUUGUUUUGUUUGCAGGCUGGACUUGGAGUUUUGCUGUUCGGGGAGAAAGGAGUUGAUGCCCAGCAGGGCAGACUGAUCCUGUGCAGAUGCUGCUCAGUGAGAUGAAUUCUCUGCAUCCCGAAGAAUGUUGAGUGGAUUGGGAGCUCCCUCUGAUUGAGCAGAGCUGUGCUCCUGCAAGCGUAGACCAGUUUGGUCUCCAGUUUUCUGGUGACUGUUCUGUUGCCUGCAGGCUGCAGCCAUUCUCAACGCUGUAAAUACCUUCAGACAUCUGCUCCAAGCAUACCUCCCUGCCAGAAGCUGCGAUGAAGGCAUGUUCACUUUUGCUUCUUUCUUACGGGGAAGAUUUUGCUUCCAUCUCCCUUCUGCUCUUCUUCUCAAGCCAGCGCAACACAAGGAGAGCCAACCCCGGUCAUUCUUCAAGAGCUGAGUGGUGAGGAUGUCAUAGAAUCAUAUCAAAGAAUCAUAGAAUGGCCUGGGUUGAAAAGGACCACCGUAAUCAUCCCCCCAUGAUGGUGCACUGGGUGUAUGGGGCAGUGCGUACCCUGAUAGCAGCAAAACUGUUGUUUCACGUGCCAUAAACAGGAGCUCAUACAACAACCCUGUGUCAUGUAGCUCUCCCGGUGUUCUCACAGGGACUGGAGCUCGACUUAAAUGCUGUGAGAGCCUUCUGUGUGCCGGGCUGGUUGUGGCACUGGGGGGACCGAUCAGUUGGGCAGCAAGCAGCCCACGGCAGGAGGGAUGGAACUGCAUUCUCUCUAAGGGCCAUUCCAACCUGAGCCACUCAGUGAUUGUGUCUCUUAUUCAGAACUGACGUGUGGUUUUGCUUCAUUUCUGAGGAUGGUUCAAAGUGCUCUCCUUUCCAGAUGGAGAUUCUGACAUGCCUUUAAUUCUAAUCUUCUCCUCUCCUCAUUUUUUUUUAAUCAGCCUUCACAGUUAAGCAUAUAAUUAGCCACUUGGAUAAAGUAGGUGUGUGGUGUCACAGAGUCACCAAGCUGAACCUAGGCCUUCUGAAGUCCGAAUCAACUCCAUCAUCAGAGCAGCCUUCCUGUAGGCACGCCAGCACUUGCAGCAUGGCCCAGAACCUCCUGCCUUUGAACUUCCCAGCUUUAGGCUGCUGCGUCAGCGUCUGUGUAUGAUGGAAGCAGUGAAGGGGGAAACAGGUAAUUGCUUAGGGAGGAAAAAGCCAAAAAUGAAACCAUGCCUUGCUGCCACUGACACGAGCUCUGCUCCUGCUCAUGUGCUUUUGGGUAAUAGAUUUUUAGGAGAGAAUGUGGUGGGCUUUGAUUCUGCUUACAGGUGUUGUCUCAGAGCAGAAGAGAACAGAGCAGGCAACAGUGAGUAAGAACACUUCUACCUUGAAAACAAACCCAGAGAACACCUCACUCCUUAGCUCACUCCAUCAAUAACAGAACAGUCUUGCUGCACUGCAGUGAACUGCUAAAAAGUUAUCGUCAGGAAGGACUGGAAGUACUUCUAGCUCUUUCCUUCCCAUAUACCUGCUUCAGAAGGACUAAACCUGUGGGGUGCCUGGAGUGAACUGAGUUGUCCUGCACUAACAUGGAUUGCUUUGCACUAGAGUAAGCCACUGAGGUCUCUGGUGAAGACCUUGCUGCACUUAGCAUGUUUUAGCUAAGUGUGAUGGAUUUGUGUUUAUGUGUCCGUGUGUGUUUAUAUACACAUACAUGGCUAUAAAAGUACAUGGGAUACUGAGUUGAAGUAGGACAGAACUGACAACGCCAGUAUAACCUGCAGCCUCAUUUAGAUGUCCGUGGAGAAGCAGCCUUUCCUCCUGAAGUGAUUUUCCUCAUCACAUGUCUGUGGGAAGCUGAUGCUCUGUUCACACAUAUUCACUACGUAGGCCUAUUUGGUGAGUAUUUUCUAUUAACGGCCCUUGGUCUGCUCGUGGUGAGCACUUCGUCACCGGGCAGGUGGUGCACAUGAGCCCCACCAGCAUCCUGUGGCUGGAGAUGGAAGCCACAAGCCAUGCCCGUGUUCUCCACCUCCGGUCAGAUGGGAAUCCCUAAGAGGAUUCCUCCUCUCUGCUGUCAGGGGAGGACGUUCACAGUCACGAGUCUGAAAUUCAGAGAUGUGCUGACAUUUCCAGGCACUUACAAUAAUGCUCACUGCUGAACUCCUUUGCUGCUGCUGAAAACCAAACAGAACGUGCUCAGAGCAAACUCAUCUAGCAAAUUCAAGCAUGUCCUCCUAGAACUCCUUUUGCAGCAGCUGUCCUGCUCUGCUUAUUUAUGCCUUGCGCUAGCAUCUGAAAUCAUUAAGGCCUCUGAUGAUAGCACAUCUCAAGACACAAUUAAAGGACAAAGACAAAUGUCAGCACCCCGGAGGUGCCACAUGGUUUUGCAGAGCAGCGGAUUUGGCAGUGCUGCAGGAGGAGCGCGGCACUGAAGUGUCAGAGUCACAGCUGAACACAAAGCCCAGUAUCAGUGCUGGAGACACCGAGGUGGUGUGGAUGCUAAGGGUGCUGCCAGCGUUGUGGUGUUCUCAAAACGUAUCUGUGGCUCAACCAAUCUGAAAUGAGUCUUCUCCUCUUAACCACGUGGCCUUACAGUGUUCCUUAGGAGAACGGCAGCCUUGUGGAUGCUCAUCCCUGGAGGUGUUCAAGGCCAGGUUGGAUGGGCCCUGGGCAGCCCGAUCUGGUGCCUGUGUAGUUUGUGGCAACACUGCCUGUGGCAUGGGGGCUGGAAAUGGAUGGUCUUUGGUGGUGAUGGGUUGGAAGUUGGACCUCCACGAUCACCUUGGAGGUCUUUUCCAGCCUUAAUGACUGUAUGAUUCUAUGAAUACAUCCCUUCUGGAGGUCCCUCUCACAUCUCAAGGAUGAUGUUUUGAUGGAAUGGGAAGCAAACGUAGGCUAAAAGCUAUGAUUAUUUCUAGAACGUGCAUGAGAAUAUGGAUAUUCCUCUUGUAACAGUGAUCAAGAAAACCAAUCAGUGUAUAAAUGAUUUUACAACACGUGGCUUCGGUCGUAGAAAUCUAGCAUUGUAGGAGUUGAAAGGGGCCCCUAAAGGUCAUCACGUUCAAUUCCUCUGCAGUGCACAGGGACACCCACAGCUCCAUCAGUGCUCAGAGCCCCGUCCCGUCUGCCCUCGGGGUCUGCAGGGAUGGGGCACCACUGCCUCUCCAGGCAACCUGUGCUGGAGGUGUUUGUAGCACAGGUCGGGAGCCUUUCCAUAGCGUACC
ensembl:lncRNA